rnacentral:rRNA from 1 species
AACGCGAAGAACCUUACCAGCCCUUGACAUGUCCCGUACGGGGCCGAGAGAUCGGCUUCAUCAGUUCGGCUGGCGGGAACACAGGUGCUGCAUGGCUGUCGUCAGCUCGUGUCGUGAGAUGUUGGGUUAAGUCCCGCAACGAGCGCAACCCUCACCUUCAGUUGCCAUCGGGUUAAGCCGGGCACUCUGAAGGAACUGCCGGUGACAAGCCGGAGGAAGGCGGGGAUGACGUCAAGUCCUCAUGGCCUUUAUGGGCUGGGCUACACACGUGCUACAAUGGCGGUGACAGAGGGAGGCGAAGGGGCGACCCCCAGCCAAUCUCGAAAAGCCGUCUCAGUUCGGAUUGUUCUCUGCAACUCGAGAGCAUGAAGCUGGAAUCGCUAGUAAUCGCGGAUCAGCACGCCGCGGUGAAUACGUUCCCGGGCCUUGUA